GGUAGAAUGGCUGAGUAAGCGGCGGGUUGUAGCUCCGACGACAGAGGAUAAAGCCUCUUUCUAUCAGCCU
rnacentral:tRNA from 1 species